rnacentral:rRNA from 1 species
AUGUUAGUUUUGUGUUUUCCUUUUCCUGUCAUGAUGGCCUCCUUGAGUAUUGUGUUUUCUGUAGUUUCCUAUAAGGACAGAUCUUACUAUGGUCCUCCUGAGUACCAGUGCCCUCACUGCAAGGCUUCUUUUUGGUUUGAGGAGAGGGCCAAUCCAUAUUCUUCAUGUGUGCUACGUAAAAUUGUUUAUAACCUUUGUUGCAAAGGUGGAAAAGUCGUUGUUAAACCUUUCAAAAAUCCUCCUGCUUUAUUGAGUCAUUUAUUAUCCUGUCAUGGUGAUCGUGUUUCCAAGCAAUUCCUGACAAAGAUACCGCAUCACAGUUGGACGGCAUUUACGUCUAUUGUGGCGACGUCAUUCGUUCGCUGGAAGGCACGCAGGGGUUAA